AUAGUUUAAUUCCAGCUAAAUUUUUAGUAUGCUCUUAGUCCUAUAUGCUAACCCUAUAAAAUAUAAAGAAUAAUAAAUGGCAGUAGGUAGAUUUAUUUUAUGUGUCAUUACAUGAAAUUGUUGAGGGUAAUAAACUUGGCUAAUACUGUGCCAGCAGCAGCGGUUAUACAAUAAAGAUUUCAACAGAAAAAUUUUAUAAUGAUAGAUUAAAAUAAAUUUAAGGUAAAAUUUUGUUUUAGAGUUCUUAUUCUAUUAGAUUAAAGAUAUAGUUUAAAACAAGGAUUAGAUACCCUUUUAUUUUUAUUCAAUAUAUAAAUUGGGGAGUACGAGCUAUGGCUUAAAAACCAAAGAACAUGGCGGUAUUUUAUUCGAUCAGGGUGGCAUGUAUCUUAAUUUGAUAGUCCACGUUUUUUAGUCCUAGUCUUGAAGAACAGUGUGUGUACUGCCGUUAUACAUGAUUCUAUAGAAUAAUGUGAGAUAUAUAGCAUUAUAUAAAUAGUCAGGUCCAAGCGCAGCCAAUGAUUAGGUGAGAGUGUGCUACAUUUAUUUAAACAUUCUAAUUAUUUAGUUAAAUCUAAAUAUGAGGCAGAACUUGAUAGUAAUUAAAUUGAUUAAAUUUAAUGAAAACAGAUUAGAAAUAUGUACAAAUCGCCCGUCACUCCUUUAUAAAGGAUAAGUCGUAACAUAGUAGAUGUAAUGGAAAUUGUAUCUAU
rnacentral:ncRNA from 1 species